rnacentral:rRNA from 1 species
UGGGAUUAGCUAGUAGGUGGGGUAACGGCUCACCUAGGCGACGAUCCCUAGCUGGUCUGAGAGGAUGACCAGCCACACUGGAACUGAGACACGGUCCAGACUCCUACGGGAGGCAGCAUG